rnacentral:rRNA from 1 species
GCACCUUCGGGUGUGAAUUAGCGGCGAACGGGUGAGGAACACGUGAGAAAUCUGCCUUCAACUCUGGGAUAACUCCGUGAAAACGGGGCUAAUACCGGAUAUGAGAUCUACAGGCAUCUGUGGAUCUGGAAAGUUUUUCGGUUGAAGAUGAUCUCGCGGCCUAUCAGCUUGUUGGUGAGGUAAUGGCUCACCAAGGCGACGACGGGUAGCCGGCCUGAGAGGGCGACCGGCCACACUGGGACUGAGACACGGCCCAGACUCCUACGGGAGGCAGCAGUGGGGAAUAUUGGGCAAUGGAGGAAACUCUGACCCAGCGACGCCGCGUGCGGGAUGAAGGCCUUCGGGUUGUAAACCGCUUUCAGCAGGGAAGAAGCGAAAGUGACGGUACCUGCAGAAGAAGCACCGGCUAACUAUGUGCCAGCAGCCGCGGUAAUACAUAGGGUGCAAGCGUUGUCCGGAAUUAUUGGGCGUAAAGAGCUCGUAGGUGGUUCGUCACGUCGGAUGUGAAACUCUGGGGCUUAACCCCAGACCUGCAUUCGAUACGGGCGAGCUUGAGUAUGGUAGGGGAGUCUGGAAUUCCUGGUGUAGCGGUGGAAUGCGCAGAUAUCAGGAGGAACACCAAUGGCGAAGGCAGGACUCUGGGCCAUUACUGACACUGAGGAGCGAAAGCGUGGGGAGCGAACAGGAUUAGAUACCCUGGUAGU